AUAUUACUAUAUGUUGUUGAUGGACAACUGUGUUGAAACAUGUUUUUGGUUUUUGUUUGUAUUUCAUUUUUUACACAAUGUCAUAUUUAAUCAGUGUUUAUAUUAUUGACCUCAGUUACUGCACUUUUUUUAUUUUCCGUGUAAGGAGAAAAGUAUAUCUUUCAAAAAUGUUUAGAAGCUGCUAUUGUCCGAAUGGUGAUCUGAAACAAACUGAAUGUCAUGAUAUUCAGUCGUUUGACUCCCUGUGUCGCUAUUAGCUUUCCUAUCAUUAGUAUGAUUUGUGUUUGGCCAUGAUUCCUUCUUUUCAAUCCUAAGCUGACUUUGCAUUUGAGGUUAUCAAUGAAGUAGAGAGGUAUUGUCUCUACAAACAAUGAAUCCAUCCGUCUUUCCAUCAUCCACACAGGACCCACAAACCCCCACCAAAAGUUGGAAAAAUAGAUUUUUAUUUAAGGUCUAACUACUGCAAGUUAGUUUGCAAUGGGGAAGGAUACUAAAUGAAUUAAACGGGACUCAUGACUAACUUUUAGGAAAUAUGAACUUUGAAAGCACGUUCUAUAGGCUCUAUCAUCAGAUUACAUCAAAACAUAUAAAGUCCUGCAUACAUUUUUUGGGGGGGAUAUUAUCAAAUUAUAUGUAAUAUUAAUGGUAAAUGGAAUGUAUUUGUAUUGUGCUUUUCUAGUCUUCUGACCGCUCAAAGCGCUGCAACAAUACAUGUCAUCAUUCAUGUAUUGAUGGCAGGAGCCACCCGCCCAGCAGCACCUAUCGUUCACAACCGCUAUUCACAGCUACGGGAGCAAUUAGGGGUUAAGUGUCUGUGGAGCUGGAGAUCGAACAAUCGAUCUUCUGGUUGUAGGGCUGCCCCGCUCUCCAUUAAGUAGGACCUACUCCUGGAAAUGCUGCUUAACACUUAACACAGUACUGCAAUUGACUGCACUGAAAAGUCAUGCUAACCUUUUUAAACGGAUUAAUCAAAACUCAAGUCAUUGAAUCCUUCCCUUCUUCAUAUAAAUGAACAUGACCGGCCGUCGCGUCCAAAAACGUAGAACUAUGAAGUAUUCCCUUUUGUGUCAUUAGUCAUUUUUUGGAUCCCAAAAUCAGAAAGGCUAAAGAAUGGGACUUCACGUCAGCUUAAAAAACGACAUUCUUAAUACUGGAGAUGGUACAAAUUAGCCAUAUCUAACCACAAUAGUACCACAAAGUAACACAAUUAUGAAUUGGAUGAGGACAUCACCUCUCUACUGUAGUCAUCACAGGAUCUCUUACUGUACCUCAUGCCUGUAAUGUUUGCUGCUUCUACACUUUUGGUAUUUUAGUGACAUUGUUGCGUCUCAUAACAGUGAUGUACAUAGUAGAACUAUUUAUUGAGAGUGUUAUACUUUUUUAAGUUAUAUUUAAUGUCCACGUAAGUUAUUUUUUACACAAAAAACAUCAUCGGUUGUGAGUCAAAACUGUAAUUUGUCUCUGAUGCUUUGUUGUGAUCAUUUCUGUCAUGCAUCGACCAGACGCACAAUACACUUCAGACUCACAUCCCCACAAGAAACUCAUUGGUCAUAAAGUGUAGAUGCAUCCAAUGAGGAUCCAACUCAUGUCCAAAUGUUACUGAGUGCAGUGUAUCAUUUUCCCCCUUUAACACCCGAAUGUAAAGUUUUUCCUUUUUAUUUGCUAUUUUUUUUAAAUCCACAAAUUAGCCAACACGUACCAUAUGAGGUGUUGUGAAAAGAGAACCAAGUAUAUAAUGUUUAAGGGAAAGAAGGACUUGAUGCCACAGGACAGUUGAUGGUUGCCCCAGAAAGAGUUCUUGGACUGCGGGAGAGUAGAAGGUGGGCA
ensembl:lncRNA